GACGAACGCUGGCGGCGUGCUUAACACAUGCAAGUCGAACGAAGAGCGAUGGAAGCUUGCUUCUCUCAAUCUUAGUGGCGAACGGGUGAGUAACGCGUAAUCAACCUGCCCUUCAGAGGGGGACAACAGUUGGAAACGACUGCUAAUACCGCAUACGAUCUAAUCUCGGCAUCGAGGAUAGAUGAAAGGUGGCCUCUACAUGUAAGCUCUCACUGAAGGAGGGGAUUGCGUCUGAUUAGCUAGUUGGAGGGGUAACGGCCCACCAAGGCGAUGAUCAGUAGCCGGUCUGAGAGGAUGAACGGCCACAUUGGGACUGAGACACGGCCCAGACUCCUACGGGAGGCAGCAGUGGGGAAUCUUCCGCAAUGGACGAAAGUCUGACGGAGCAACGCCGCGUGAGUGAUGACGGCCUUCGGGUUGUAAAGCUCUGUUAAUCGGGACGAAAGGCCUUCUUGCGAAUAGUGAGAAGGAUUGACGGUACCGGAAUAGAAAGCCACGGCUAACUACGUG
rnacentral:rRNA from 1 species